rnacentral:rRNA from 1 species
UACGGGGGGGGCAAGCGUUGUUCGGAAUUACUGGGCGUAAAGGGCGUGUAGGCGGCCAACUAAGUCGGAUGUGAAAUCCCCAGGCUUAACCUGGGAACUGCAUCCGAUACUGGAUGGCUUGAAUCCGGGAGAGGGAUGCGGAAUUCCAGGUGUAGCGGUGAAAUGCGUAGAUAUCUGGAGGAACACCGGUGGCGAAGGCGGCAUCCUGGACCGGCAUUGACGCUGAGGCGCGAAAGCUAGGGGAGCAAACGGG